rnacentral:lncRNA from 1 species
GAUGAAAUGAAAUGACAUAAUGAAAUGAAAAAAUGAAAUAAUGAAAUGAGGUGAAAUUAAAUGAGAUGAUGAAAUUAAAUGAUGAAAUGAAAUAAUGAAAUGGAAAUGAUGAGAUGAGAUGAAAUGACGAGAUGAAUGAUGAGACGAAAUGAGAUGAAAUGAUGAGAUGCAAUGAUGAGAUGAAAUGAUGAAAUGAUGAGAUGAGAUGUAAUGAUGAGAGGAAAUGAUGAGAUGUAAUGAAAUGAGAUGAAUGAGAUGAAAUAAUGAAAGGAAAUUGAAUUGAUAUAUGAGAUGAAAUGAGAUAAAAUGAGAUGAAAUAAGAAAUGAUGAGGUGAAAUGAUGAAAUGCUGAGGUGAGAUGAGAUGAAAUGAGGAGAUGAAACGAUGAGAUGAAAUGAAAGGAUGAGAUGAAAUGAUGAUAUGAGGUGAGAUGAGAUGAAAUGAGAUGAAACGAGAUGAAAUGGUGAAAUGAUGAGAUGAGACGAGAAGAAAUGAUGAGAUGAAAUGAGAUGAGAUAAAAUGAGAUGAAAUGAAAUGAAGUGAAAUGAAAUGAAAUAAUGAAAUUGAAAUGAGAUGAGAUGAAAUGAGAUAAAAUGAUGAGAUGAAAUGAUGAGAAGAAAUGAGAUGAAAUGAUGAGAUGAGAUGAUGAGAUGAAAAAUGAUGAGAUGAAAAAUGAUGAGAUGAAAUGAUGAGAUGAAAUGAAAUGAAAUAAUGAAAUAAUGAAAUGAGAUGAAAUGAAAAGAAAUGAUGAAAUGAUAUUGAAAUGAAAUUGAAAGAUGAGAUGAAAUGAUGCGAUGAAAUGAUGAAAUGUUGAAAUGAAAUGAUGAAAUGAUGAAAUGAUGAAAUGAAAUGAGAAGAUCAAAUGGUGAAAUGAAGAAAUGAUAUGAAAUGAUGAAAUGAAAUGAAGUGAUGAAAUGAAGUUAAAUGAUUAAAUGAUGAAAUAAUGAAAUGAAAUGAUGAAAUGAUGAAUUGAUGAAAUGAUCAAAUGAAAUGAGAUGAAAAGAUGAGAUGAAAUGAAAUGAUGAAAUGAAAUGACGAGAUGAAAAGAUGAAAUGAGAUGAAAUGAGAUGAAAUGAAAUCGUGAGAUGAUGAAAUGAUGAGAUGAAGUGAAAUGAUGAAAUGAUGGAAUGACAAAAUGCAACAAUGAGAAGAAAUUAUGAAAUGAAAUAAUGAAAUGAAAGGAUGAAAUGAUGAGAUGAAAUGAUGAAAGGAUGAAAUGAAAUGAUGAAAUGAGGAAAUGAAAAGAUGAAAUGAAAUGAAUAAGUGAAAUGAUGAAAUGAUUGAAUGAAAACAUGAAAUGAUGAAAUGAUAUGAAAUGAUGAAAUGAUGACAUGAAGUCAAAUGAUGCAAUGAUGAAAUAAAUGAAAUGAAAUGAUGAAAUGAAAUGAGAUGAAAUGAUGAAAUGAUGAGAUGAAAAGAUGAAAUGAAAUGAUGAGAUGAAAUGAAAUGAGAUGAAAUGAAAUGAGAUGAAAUGAAAUCAUGAGAUGAAAAGAUGAAAUGAGAUAAAGUGAAAUGACGAAAUCAAAUGUCGAGAUGAAGUGAUGAAAUGAAAUGAUGAAAUGAAACAAUGAAAUGAAGUGAAAUGAAAUGAGAUGAAAUGAUGAAUUGAUGAAAUGAAAUGAGAUGAAAAGAUGAAAUGAAAUGAUGAAAUGAUGAGAUGAAAAGAUGAAAUGAUGAGAUGAAAUGAAAUGAUGAGAUGAAAUGAAAUGGUGAGAUGAAAUGAAAUGAUGAGAUGAAAUGAUGAAAUGAUGAGAUGAAGUGAAAUGAUGAAAUGAAAUGUUGAGAUGAAAUGAUGGAAUGAAAUGAAAGAAUGAAAUGAAAUGAUAAAAUGAGAUGAAAUGAUAAGAUGAAAUGAUGAAAUGAUGAAAUGGAAGGAUGAAAUGAAAUGAUGAAAUGAGGAAAUGAGAUGAAAUGAUGAAAUGAAAGGAUGAAAUGAGGAAAUGAGAUGAAAUGAUGAAAUGAAAGGAUGAAAUGAGGAAAUGAAAUGAAAUGAUGAAAAGAAAUGAAAUAAUGAAAUGAAAUGAUGUAAUAGAUGAACCAGAAAUUCUUAUUCACUUUUAUUCUGGGCAUCUUUCUAAGAGUAUUUUAGUGAGGUUAAUUUCUAAAUAUAAAUUGCUAUUCAAUGGCUAUAGAGUUGGCCUUUGCACCACAGGGGUUUGAACUGUGCACGUCCACUUAGCAAAACCAACAAUUCUACAUCCUUAUCCACAUCCUGCCCAUGAGAAAGAUGAGGAUGAAGACCUGUUUGAUCAUCUACUUCCAUUUAAUAACUAGUAAAUCUAUUUUCCUUAUGAUUUUCUUUUUUCAUUUCUCUGGCAUGUUUGUUAAGAAUACAGUAUAUAAGACAUAUAACAUAUUAAAUAUGUGUUAAUUGACUGUGUUAUUUGUCAGGCUUACAGUAGGCUAUUAGUAGUUAAGUUUUGGGGGAGUCAAAGUUAUAGUGGAUUUUCUACCGUGCAGGGGGGCCAGCACCCCAACCUCCGUGUUGCUUAAGGGUCAACUGUACAUGUUAUUUCCUUUCCUGUAAGAGAAAAAUGAUGAGAAGGUCUUUUCUCCAAUAAGUGUCUUCAAAAUGUAGCAGAUUUGAAAUGUGUUGGCGCCACCAUUUUGCGUCUCACUUUGAAAACUUAUUAUUUAAAAUCUUACUAAAGCCUACCUUACUUUUCCAACCUUAGAAAAAAUGUUCCAAAGAAAAGGGGCGAAACCAUGCUAGUUUGCCCUGAAAUUUGAAAUUACCUUUUAAAAAUAUAUUUUGACAUUAAUUACUUCCAAACUAGAGAUCAGUUGCAUACAAAUGGCAGGUCACCCUAAUCCACCCUAUGACUGCACUUAGAUUCAUGAGGGAUUGUGCCAUCUAGAAAGGGCAGAGAGGAGGAAUAGAGUGCUCUGCGUCUUGAAAUAUAAACAUGCACAUAGCCACAUGCUUUGAUUCUGUUGUCACUGUGUACUUACUGCUAGGAAGAGGGCAUGUUUGUGUAUUUUUAUGCUAGUUAUUAUCCAAGUUGUUAAUGAUUUACGCUUUCAGAACCAUAUAAAGAUUUUUUUCCUUUCAGAUAUAAACUAUCUUGCAUUGUUCUUCUGAUCAUAUGAGGGAUAAAUUUGCCUAAAUAUUCUUCAGACCAUAAUAGUAUGUCCAUAUAAAUGCCAGUAGCAAGAGUAGAAUCAACCACAACUGCCUUAGUAAUUAUUUAAAGCAUGUCUGCCUAUAAGUAAUUGACAUUUUAUAUAAUCAAGAAUCUUUGAUAUAAUAAUCUCUCAACUAUUUGAAACACGGCUCACAUGUAUUAAUUUUUUAAGCAAAUAUAUAUAUAUAAUAUCAGUGUAUAUGAAACUGAAUUUUGGACUUUAGAACAGCUUCUUAGAAUCCUGACUUAAAUGUCUACAGUAAUAGUUGGCUUAAAAAAAUUUAGCACACUGUCACUAUGAUGAAAAAAAUUACUAUAAAAUAUUUAAAAAUUUUUUCCACCCUAACAUUUAGAAUAUUCUCACAUUUGUGGUUAAAACCUAUUGUGAUUGUUCUUAGAAUUUAGAUAAGAAAUGUCCCAGAAAGAUUGAAGAGAAGCACUUUAGUCAAUUUUUAGUUGUUGAAGCAUGAAGAAAUGGCAUUUCAUUGACAUUUUAAAAAUUAUUCAGAUUCCCUCUUUGAAUUCAAGAGUUUCAAAGAUGUCUUAUUUUAAAAUACCAAAAUAGGAAUAGAAUAUGAAGGGCUGGUUAUGAGUAAUGUGAUACAAUUUUAUGAGAUGAUGAGAUUACAAUAACAAUACCUCCUCUCAUAGAAUAGCCAGCAAGUCUCCACUAAAUAACAGUGCCUUGAUUUUAUAGAUGUUUCAUCAUGGAUAUUGAGUUAAUGUGAACCAUUUGUAGACACAGGAGUUUAUUAAAGACUUAUAUAAUAUCUUUCAAGUAUUUAGAAUAGUGUUGAAAUUAAGCCUGCAUCCCCACGAUUUUCAGCGGUGCUGAUGCCUAAUAAACUCAACCCCUUGCAUGCCAAAAUUGGCUUAAAGCCCAUCUGUUACCCAAGCUACACUUCAAGCAUCGAGGUUCAAAAAUGUGAUUUUGAAUAUGCAAGAGUUUGAGGAAUUCACUACUCACACUUUCUUGAACAGUCUAUCCAAGUGCAUCAAGCAAAAUGUGAGUAAAGAAAUUUUGAGCAAAGGAUUGAUAGUAAUGUUGAAUACAUUUAAUAGUAGAUCAAAGAUUAAAAGGUGAAAGUGAGGGUGAGAAGAGUGUAUGAAUGCUUUGUGUUCUGACAAAGAGAAUGUAGCACCCAGGUCCUACCUGCUUGGAUGCAUUGCCAGUGCCCACGGUAGGCCAUUUUAUCCAGGUUUUUAGGUAUUGUCUUAUUUUGUUUGUUUUUUUUCUUUUCAGGAGUCUUAGUCCAAGACCAAUAACUCCGUAACUGGUAGAUUUGGAAGACUUUAAUAGUGCUUAACAUUUUGUACAUAGCUUUAUAACAGUUUUCUUUUUCUUUUUUUCUGAGAGAUUCUUUUCAAUAUACCCCAUCAUGGUUGAACUCAAAAAUCAUUGCUUAUUUAAAAUCUACAACUGCUGACGUUUUGUAACGUUCGCAUUCCAGAUACAACAGAGAAAUGCAUAAUGUCCAGUCAAUUUAUUAAAGUUCCAAAGUCGGUCGCGCGCAGUGGCUCACGCCUGUAAUCUCAACACUUCGGGAGGCCGAGGCGUGUGGAUCACGAGGUCAGGAGUUGGAGACUAGCCUGAUCAACAUGGUGAAACCCCGUCUCUACUAAAAAUACAAAAAUUAGCCAGGCAGGGUGGCACGCGGCUGUAAUCCCCGCUACUCAGGAGGCUGAGGCAGGAGAAUUGCUUGAACCUGGGAGGCAGAGGUUGCAGUGAGCAGAGAUGACGCCACCAUACUCCAGCCUGGGAGAAAGGGUGAAUGAGACUCCUUCUCAAAAAAAAAAAAAAAAAAGAGUUGCAAAGUCAUAUCUUUCUGCUCUUGUCAGACAAUUAAGGGGUCUUUGAAUACUUCAGCCCUAAUAAUUUGCUUCCUAACAUACAUAUUGCAGUGCUUAUCUAAUUUUAAAUAUUCUUUUGUUUCAACACCUAAUUUUCUAUUUUGAUCUAUCUUUAUGUUUACAAUAUAUUUUGCUCUGUGUUCAUUCUUUGAUUUCAGAACUUCAAUCUUUCUGAAGCGUGUUUUCAGAGUUUCCUUUGAGUUUCUUUAGUGGAAUUCUGCUGGUGGUAUUUUGUUUUUUGUCUCUAAAUAUGUGAUUUAGCCAUAGGUUGAUGAAUAUUUUUCUUGGUUGAGAAUUUCAGAAUGGCAUUAUUAUUCUUAACAAAUAAUAUUGUUUAUUUUACCUUUCAUGCUUUCAGAUUUCAAUAUGAUUAAAGGUAAUUUGAUUUUUCUAGUGCUAAUUGAAAUAUUUUUCCCUUCCUGAUUGUUUACUAUUUCUCUAGGAGAUAUGUAGAUGUAGGUUUAUCUCCAUCGUAGCUUGCUUAGCAUGCAUAGAAGUUUUGAAUAUGUGGAUUAGUGUCUUACAGAACUCUAGAGAACUUUCAGCCAAAAUACCAUCACAUAUUGUCCCUUCCCCGUUCCCUUCCUCUAUGAGAACACUCACUAAACACAUGCUACACUUUCUCACUGUAUCUUCCAUGUCUCUUCAUGAUUCUGUCCACAUUGUGCCUUUUUUUAAAUUUUCUGUAAUGCAUUCUGAAAUAUUUAUGAGCUCUCACCAUGGCCAUGUCUAAUCUGAUGAGUUCAUUUUUGAGUUUUUAAUUUAAAAUACUAUAUACAAACUACUUUUCAAAUUUACUACAUCAACUUUUUAGUCUCCUAAAAAUAUAUUCCUUUUUUUAAAUUUUUUGAAAGCAAAUGUGCUUUAUAAUCUAACAGUGAUAUUUCUACUAAUGAACCUCUGUGGAUCUGUUUGUACUCUUUUUCUGCUUUCCUUUCAAAUGGUGGAAUAUCAUUUCCUUGCGUACUUAGAUGCCUUUGAAUGACAAAGAUUUAUUUUUCUCUGAAAAUUAUUAUUGUGCACUUUUGCAUAUUAGUAAGAAGAAAAUUUGCCAAAGAGAAUUUGAAUUUUUUGUGAGUCUACUAAAGGCACCACCAUUCUGGGACCACAUUAUAUUAAUUCUUGGCCUAAAGGUGUUUGGACGUAUGUUUGGACAGCACAUUUAAACAAUUUUUAAAUUAAUUGCUGUAAAUCAUUAAUGAUUGAGUUUCUUUAAAUCUGUCCAAUCUCAAGUCAUUUUUAUUUGCCAUUUCCAGGGAAUGUGAAAUGAGACUAAUUUACCUCUGAUUCUUCUUUAUACUGAGGAGAUAAAUUUUGGUGCUAGCUUUAGGGAAGAGCUCCUGUGUGAUGCCCUAUCUUGGGAAACACUAUGUAUUUCUUUACUGUCCUAUGUGAUGUAUGACCAUAGGAAUCUGCACUCAUUCAUUUUGCUACAUGUCCGUAGGGCAAAAUCAGUAUCAGUGUUUAGGUGUAUUUUGUCUGCUCCCUGCAUUCCCAUGGUUUUGACCUUAUCUUUUACUUUUUUUUGUGAACAUACCAAUGCUUCAAUUUUUUUCCAGUAAUAUAAUCAACCAUACUAUAAGAGAAAAAUUUCGAUAAAACACAAAUUUCAUGUUUUCCUACUCUAAUUGGCUUUUACGUAAAAAUACAGGUAAAAUUUAUUUGUGCUUUUUUGCUAUUUCUGUUUUGCUAUUUUCUGUUUGUCUAUGUCUUCACCACAUAGACACAAUUAGGGAAUUUUGUACACUCUUGUGCCAACUGCUUUGAUAGUAACAAAAUGUAUUUCUCGAACUCCUAGGUAUAAAACUCAAGUAUCCACUAUUUAAAUUCUUUUUUGCUCACUUCUAGUAUGUUUCCAGUCUCAAUAGAAAUCGAUGCCAAUCCAGAAAUACAAGCAUUAUUCUAAUACUUCUCACACAUUACUGGUAUGGAUGACAUUUUCUAGAUCUCCUUAAAUACUAUCAUUUUUCACUACUUGUAUCUUAACUGUUAAGUUCAACAUUUUCUGUAAUAUUAAUAUAUUGUGAAAAUUUCCUUUCUUUCUUAUUUGUCCCAGGUUCAAUGUUUUGCAGUCUCUACCUCACCCUGUGAAGCAUAAACAUUGUACAUGCUGUACAAAUAAUACAUCGUUCAUGUACUUAGAGAUUGCACAAUUUUUAUUUGGUUGACAAUAGCUAAUGUUUUCUUCUUCAUUUUCUAUUUCCUGAUUUUUCUUUAUUUAGUAUAUACUACACUGCCAUAAAAAUAAGAACGUUUUACAAACUAAAGCAAAAGGAACCCUAGGAAUAAAAUGCACAAAUAAAAUAUAUAAACAUACGUUUAGGUGUACCACGUACACUUGUAAUUUAUUUAGACUUUUAAUUUUAGUACAAUUUUAAUUAAAGUCUGUGUAUUAUCUGUCAUCGUCUUAGUAUUUUUUAUAUAACAAAUUGUGUAAAUCAAAAAGUAUCAAUGUCAUUGUAAACUAUCUUGGCAGAGGUUGAUCUCCAAGGAAUAAUUUCUCUCCUAAAUUAUGCCAAUCCAAAUUUCACUCUACCGUCAUUCUUUUCAUCAGUUUCAGAGGAAUAAUAAAUUUCAAAAUUGUUCAAGGUACUUCUUUUAGUUCAAGUAACAUUUGACAGGUGUAAAACUGUAGACAGACUGAUACAAACGUAUUCUAAUUGACUCAAAAUUAUAUGGGACCUAUUUUAAAAUCUAGAUUUUAAAAUGUCGUGUCAACAUACACAUGUUCUCCUUGUGAAAUAAUUGUUUUUUAUUCUCUGGAUAGAAUAAUUUAAUCUUUAAACCUUCCAUUCACUCUUAGAAACAAUAUAUUACAUAAGGAUAUGCUUAUAAAAAUAAUUCCCAACUAGCUUUUCAGUUCAGAAAUAUAUGUGAAGAAUCAUCAAACAUCUAAUGGAUUUCAAGGAGAAAUGGGUUAGUAAUUUAUUCCAUAUGUCUCAAUUUUUCCUAGACUCAAGGCUUCCUUUAAAAUAAUUGUAGGCAUUUAAGAAACCAUGCAAACUAAAAAGAAGAAACUGUGACGCUGCCGCUUAGGCUUUUUAAGUCUUUGGACAUGAUUCAAUAUAUUUUUUAAAUUGUAUCUUAAUUAGACAUUGUGAGUUCACCAUCUUCCUGUCAAUACAGCAUCCAAGCUGAUUAUCAUAGAUUACAAGUUCAACUAUCAACUGUGUUCUGAGAGUCUAAAAAAAUAAAUGAACGUAUUUGUUUGGGUAUUCUUAAAGCAGGAGUGAGGACACAGCGAAAGUGAGACAAGGAAAAGAGAACAAAAUAAAACAGGAAAGACAGAAAAGCCAAUACCACACGUGUUAAGAGGUAAGUUCCUGUGUUAGAUAUCUGGGCUUAAUUUUAUGGGAAGCUAUGUGGAGCAUGCCUCAGAAUUACAUCACUGAAUCCAGGGAGAUUCUUCUUAGUUACCCUCACCUUUUCUUCCCACUUCAUGCCCAGUAACAAGCUCCCGUGCUGCUAGAGAAAGUCCUCAGCUAGAAACUGGUGCAAAUUCUGGAGAUGAGACCUUGUAGAGUGUUAAGAAUGGUUUUCUUCCCAGCAGCUACAGCUAAGGAAUAGGGGCUGGGCUAUGAAUACAUCUGCUACAAACCAAUAAAGCCCUUAUGCUCCUUUUGGUGAUCGACAAUGUAUUUAAAAAUAUUAGAUGAUCAAGAAGGGCUGCAGAAAGGAGGAAACAGAAACAAACAGCACACCUCUUGGUUUAUUUUUUUUCAUUUCAUCAGUUUCAAGGAAAAUAUGUUGGGAGUUCCUGGCAUAGAGAAUGUCACAAAGACAUGUUUUCAAUAGUAGUGCUAUCCCGAGGGCAGAGAAGACCCAGAGAAAGCCCAAGUGGCUGCUGGAACAAAAUCAGACACCGUGCCACCUGUCCACACUCCUUGGCUCUGCCAUCAUGCUGAAGAUCGCUUUAAAGGACUGGCUUCCCUCCCCCCAAAAUUAAAAGAGCACAGACUGAGAAACUGAAUGUGGGAGACAGCAGUGGAUUAUGCUGUUCUCAGGGGUCACCUCAGGUUUGGAAGCAUUCUUUCAAAUUAACCCAUCUCAGGCCAUCUGCAGAGAAGAAAGGUGGUACCUAACUUUUUUUCUUGUCGGCAUUUGGUAGGGGUGUUUUAUUGACCAAAUAUGUUCCCACAACCUCGUUUUUUGUGACUAACUAAAUAUAGUAGAGUUUUAAAUUUUAUCAUCAAAAUCUAUAGACAAUUUUUGAUGAAAAUAGACUCCAUCUCUAUGUCCUGCUUUUCUUCUUCUUAUUAAUUACAUUGCUGUAUAAAAGAACAAGACUUCAGCAUCAAGAAUAUCUUGUCUCUUGGCAUUGAAUUUAUACAAGGUGCUCUUUCUUUAAUGCUGUCUCAAAGGACAUAUUUUUACUCAUUAAAAAGGAAGAUCGGAAUCUAGUUGUAUGCACUGCUCCAACAUAUUAAUAAUUAAAAUUAGGAGGUAAAUGUGGUCAAAGCUAUAGAAAGACGGAGAUGUCAUUUAUAUGGAUUACUCUAUAGCACUCUACAAACAGAAAUUGUUAAAUAAUAGUUUAUAUAAAUAUUUUGUAGCAUUUCAAAUAUUUGAGUGCUUGAAGUUUCUCCUCUUCUAUAGUUCAGAUUAUCAAUUUGAAGACUUACUCCGCUAGUUAAUAUGUUUUUAGUCUCGUUUGAGUAUUAUAUAAAAGCAAUUUUCAGUUAAAUGUGUUCCGCUUACAUAAAACGUUACAAAUUAUUGAGGAUUUAAUUACUUAUUCAUGUUCCUGUAAUGUCUUUAGAAGAUUUUCUUAUUAUUACCUAUCAAUAUAUGUAUGCUUUGUCAAAGAAAAAUCAAACAUAUAUAUCAUUGAAAUUGAAACUUUUUAAAAGUACUUAUUAAUUCUAUUGAAAAACCACAUCCAUAGGAACAAUUACAAUAUAAUAUUGUGAACAUGUAAACAUAUACCCUAUGUCUAUUUUAUGUAUAAGCAUGUAUGAUUAAAAAUAUAGUGAAGAAUUUUUAAACCUAGUAUUAUAAAGUAAAAAUUAGUUAACUUCCGAUGAUUAUUUGUUAAUUAAGAUAAAAUUAUUUUGAUUUGGGUGAUUUUAAAUAAAGAAAAAUAUUAAAUUACAUGACAAAAAUUCUUUAUAAAAUGUUUAUGAUUUUUACAUUGGUUUUAUCACUUUUCCCACUAUUUUAUUUUAAGAUGACCUGCCUUGUUUAAAACACUGUAUUCAUCUUAGUUAAAUUAGAUUCCAUUUGUAAAAUAAUUAACAAAUGAUUUGCUCUAUUGUACAGUGCGGUUAUAAACUGAGUCAGUAUCUCAAGAUUUGAUCCCCAUUAUCAUCAUCUGUGGCCCUAUUUGUUUUAUAAAUGUGUUGUCUUUUUCCAUGCCUGUCACAUCUCUAUUGCUCUUUCAUUUUUCUCUUUGUCCCUUAUAGGGAGCAUUGCCUAUCUCUAGAUUAAGCAAAAGUUGCAUCAUAAAAAAGCACAAUAACCUGCUCAAUCUUUCUCACACAGAGAAAUGUUUGUUAAGUAAUUAAAGUGUAGAUGAUGAUACAAAGAGCUUGAUUAAAUUAGAUGCCAAAGUACCCUUGUGAUUCAGAAUAUGAAUGGUAUUUAAUUUCUUUGAAAUCAUUAAUUGCUGAGUGAGAUUAAUUAAUGCCAAUAUUCCAGAAGAUGUUCUACUUAGUGAAAUGUAUACAACGAAAAGCACAAUAACCUGCUCAAUCUUUCUCACACAAAGAAAUGUUUGUUAAGUAAUUAAACUGUAGAUGAUGAUACAAAGAGCUUGAUUAAAUUAGGUGCCAAAGUACCCUUGUGAUUCAGAAUAUGAAUGGUAUUUAAUUUCUUUGAAAUCAUUAAUUGCUGAGUGAGAUUAAUUAAUGCCAAUAUUCCAGAAGAUGUUCCAGUCAGUGAAAUGUAUACAACGUGCAAAAGAUUCAGAACUCUGAAGGGCAACAUUAUUCUAUAAUUAAGAAUUAAGAAUUAAUUCACAUUAAUUACUGGGGAGAAAUACUUUUUAAGAAUUAAUGACUGAGAAAAUGUUUUUAUUUUUUAUUUAGAAAAUUAUUUUGUGCAUGAGCAUUACCGCAAGUUUUGCAAGAAACAUAAAUUUAAAGAAACAAUUAUGUGCACAAGAUGAAUUUAAUAACAUCUUGAUAUAUUCCACGAUUGCGGUUUUAUUUGGUAAAUCUUUCAAGGCACACCAUUUAAAGAGAAUAAAUGAGUCUUGGAAAUCUUGUAGGUAAGGGUAAAUAUUAGGAUGCAUCCAGUUACAUUUACACACACAUACAGUUACAUUUACACACACAUACACGCAUACAGACUGAGUCACGUGUGUGUAUAUAUAUAUAUGAAUUUACCAAUUGAUGUUAACUAAUAUUUAUAAGAGCCAGUUGGAUUGAUAUAUAUUGUUGAACCUGAAAAAUAUUUAUUAUAUACAUGUUUAAAAUACACACAGAAAUAAAUAGCAAUUGCACUAGGCAUUUGAAACUGUACUAAAAUAUAAGCUGUGAACAUUUUGUGAUCAUUACAAAUUCUUACACUGAAUAAAUAUUUUUAUUUUUACAAUAUUAAUAUGUUUGAUACCUGUGUAUAUUUUUUUACAAUGUGUUAUUUUAUUUUUGUCAUAGAGUCAUGUCAUGCAUAAUAACAUUUUAGUCAAAGAUGGAUUACAUAUACAAAAGUGGUCCCAUGAGAUUAUAAUAGAUAUUUUUACAUACUUUUCUACGUUUAAUUAUGUUUAGAUACAUAACCUCUUACCACUGUGUUCUUAUUGCCUGCAGUAUUCAGUACAGUAAUGUAGUGCACAGAUUUGUAGCCUGGGAGAAAGAGGCUAUACCAUAUAACCUAAACGUGGUAGGCUGUACAAUCUAGGUGUUUGUAAUACUCUCUGUGAUGUUUGCAAAAUGGUAAAAUUGCCUACGAAUACAUCUGUUAAAACGUAUCCCUAUCAUUCAGUGAUGUGUGACUGUACUAAAAUGCUCAAUGUAAGUUUCAAUGCCCUCCAUAAAAUUGUUGUACUGUGAAAUACAAAUCUCU